GAUGAACGCUGGCGGCGUGCUUAACACAUGCAAGUCGAACGGAAAGGCUCCUGCUUGCAGGGGUACUCGAGUGGCGAACGGGUGAGUAACACGUGGGUGAUCUGCCCUGCACUUCGGGAUAAGCCUGGGAAACUGGGUCUAAUACCGGAUAGGACGAUGGUUUGGAUGCCAUUGUGGAAAGUUUUUCGGUGUGGGAUGAGCUCGCGGCCUAUCAGCUUGUUGGUGGGGUAAUGGCCUACCAAGGCGUCGACGGGAAGCCGGCCUGAGAGGGUGUACGGCCACAUUGGGACUGAGAUACGGCCCAGACUCCUACGGGAGGCAGCAGUGGGGAAUAUUGCACAAUGGGCGCAAGCCUGAUGCAGCGACGCCGCGUGGGGGAUGACGGCCUUCGGGUUGUAAACUCCUUUCGCUAGGGACGAAGCGCAAGUGACGGUACCUGGAGAAGAAGCACCGGCUAACUACGU
rnacentral:rRNA from 1 species